rnacentral:rRNA from 1 species
UACGAAGGGGGCUAGCGUUGCUCGGAAUCACUGGGCGUAAAGGGCGCGUAGGCGGCCUGAUAAGUCGGGGGUGAAAGCCUGUGGCUCAACCACAGAAUUGCCUUCGAUACUGUUAGGCUUGAGACCGGAAGAGGUAAGUGGAACUGCGAGUGUAGAGGUGAAAUUCGUAGAUAUUCGCAAGAACACCAGUGGCGAAGGCGGCUUACUGGUCCGGAUCUGACGCUGAGGCGCGAAAGCCAGGGGAGCGAACGGG